rnacentral:rRNA from 1 species
UACAGAGGUCUCAAGCGUUGUUCGGAAUCACUGGGCUUAAAGGCGCGUAGGCGGCUCGCCAAGUCAGGGGUGAAAUCUUUCGGCUUAACCGGAAAAGUGCCUUUGAUACUGGCGGGCUGGAGGGAGGUAGGGGCAUGUGGAACUUCCGGUGGAGCGGUGAAAUGCGUUGAUAUCGGAAGGAACGCCGGUGGCGAAAGCGACGUGCUGGACCUCUUCUGACGCUGGAGGCGCGAAAGCCUAGGGGAGCGAACGGG